GCCGGGAUAGCUCAGCUGGGAGAGCAACAGACUGAAGUCACCCAUUGAAGGGGAUGCGGAUUUCUGGAGGUCGCGUGUUCAAUCCACGCUCCUGGCA